rnacentral:hammerhead_ribozyme from 1 species
GCACUGCCGACGAGUCCCAAAUGGGACGAAACAGCUGUCCAGUGC